rnacentral:rRNA from 1 species
AACAAACGCUGGCGGCGUGCCUAAUACAUGCAAGUCGAACGGGGAAAGCUUUCGGGUGAGUACUAGUGGCGCACGGGUGAGGAACGCGUGGAUAAUCUGCCUUGGAGUGGGGGAUAACUAGUCGAAAGAUUAGCUAAUACCGCAUAAGACCACAGGAGCUGCGGCUCUAGGGGUCAAAGGUUUUUCGUUCCAAGAUGAGUCCGCGUAAGAUUAGCUAGUUGGUGAGGUAAUGGCUCACCAAGGCGACGAUCUUUAACUGGUCUGAGAGGAUGAUCAGUCACACUGGAACUGAGACACGGUCCAGACUCCUACGGGAGGCAGCAGUAGGGAAUAUUGCACAAUGGGGGAAACCCUGAUGCAGCGACGCCGCGUGAGUGAUGAAGGCCUUCGGGUCGUAAAGCUCUGUCGCAGGGGAAUAACAAAAUGAAGGUACCCUGUAAGAAAGGAUCGGCUAACUUCGUGCCAGCCGCCGCGGUAAUAC